rnacentral:rRNA from 1 species
ACGCGCGGAACCUUACCAGGUCUUGACAUCCUCUGACACUCCUAGAGAUAGGACGUUCCCCUUCGGGGGACAGAGUGACAGGUGGUGCAUGGUUGUCGUCAGCUCGUGUCGUGAGAUGUUGGGUUAAGUCCCGCAACGAGCGCAACCCUUGAUCUUAGUUGCCAGCAUUAAGUUGGGCACUCUAAGGAGACUGCCGGUGACAAACCGGAGGAAGGUGGGGAUGACGUCAAAUCAUCAUGCCCCUUAUGACCUGGGCUACACACGUGCUACAAUGGACGGUACAAACGGUUGCCAACCCGCGAGGGGGAGCUAAUCCGAUAAAACCGUUCUCAGUUCGGAUUGUAGGCUGCAACUCGCCUACAUGAAGCUGGAAUCGCUAGUAAUCGCGGAUCAGCAUGCCGCGGUGAAUACGUUCCCGGGCCUUGCACUCACCGCCCGU